UGGUAUGCACUGGCUUCGCUGAUUCCUCCUUUCUGAAGAACUGUAAUGUCAUUAAUUUGGUGUUGCAGGGAAACAGGACUGUUACUUUGAAAAAAUUAGAGUGUUUAAAGCAGGCUAACGCUUGAAUACAUUAGCAUGGAAUAAUGAAAUAGGACGCUCGAUCCUAUUUUGUUGGUUUCUAGGAUUGACGUAAUGAUUAAUAGGGAUAGUUGGGGGCAUUAGUAUUCAAUUGUCAGAGGUGAAAUUCUUGGAUUUAUUGAAGACUAACUACUGCGAAAGCAUUUGCCAAGGAUGUUUUCAUUAAUCAAGAACGAAAGUUAGGGGAUCGAAGACGAUCAGAUACCGUCGUAGUCUUAACCAUAAACUAUGCCGACUAGGGAUCGGAUGAUGUUAAUUUUUUAAUGACUCAUUCGGCGCCUUACG
rnacentral:rRNA from 1 species